rnacentral:rRNA from 1 species
GAUGAACGCUAGCGGCAGGCUUAACACAUGCAAGUCGAGGGGCAGCGCGAUGUAGCAAUACAUUGGCGGCGACCGGCGCACGGGUGCGUAACACGUAUGGAACUUACCCUUUACUGGGAGAUAGCCCGGAGAAAUCCGGAUUAAUAUCCCAUAAUAAACGAAGUGGCAUCACUUUGUUUGAAAGCUCCGGCGUAAAGGAUGGCCAUGCGCACGAUUAGCUAGUAGGUGAGGUAACGGCUCACCUAGGCUACGAUCGUUAGGGGGCCUGGAGAGGGUUAUCCCCCANACUGGUACUGAGACACGGACCAGACUCCUACGGGAGGCAGCAGUGAGGAAUAUUGCGCAAUGGAGCAACUCUGACGCAGCCAUGCCGCGUGCAGGAAGAAGGCG